UUAUUUAUUUUCAUUUUACUUAAAAUAUAUGUUUUUGUUAAGUUAACAUAUGUUUUUCUAAUCAAGUCUACGUAAUUGUGUCUAUUAUUCAACGUACAUAAUACUAAUGUGUUACUUGAUCGCAUAACAUUUAAGUUAAGUCAAUUAGGAUCGAUAUACCUUGUAUAUCCACAAGGUGGCAGUAAUGCAAAAACAGUUGUAAUGAAACCGCGCAGAACAAGAAGGUUUCACGGCUUGUGCCUGCUCAUGCGCAAGACUUCAAAUUUAACUGAAAAAGGCUGUUUUGGCGCCAAGCUACUGUUUCUUUGAGAGAUCCUGCCUUUACCUGCUCCCUCCUAUACUGAUGUGGUGUAUGUGGUAUUGCUGAGCUUGUAUGUGGUGGAAGCAGAAUAUGUGAGGAUUACUACUGCUGCACAUGUUCCAAGGCUUUUUACACAACUUGACCAAUACACUGACCAGCUCAUAAAAGUCUUCAAGAAAAAAGGAGGCGUUGCAGGGAAGAAAAUUAGACAAACUUUGGCCCCAGCCACACAGAAGGAAAGUAUUGAAAAGGGGAGGGAGUGUGUCCUCAGGGCACUACCUUUUUACCUGAAUGAAGACCCAAGCAUCCUCUUCAAAGAAUAAUUGCUACAGCUGUUCAGAGGGAGCUGGAACAAAUUACCCUUGCUAUCUUUACCAUCGAAAGAGCUGAUGCCAGCACUCCUCCAGCCGAUGUGGGUAUAACCAUCUAGUGUGUCCUGCAUGACCUGGAAGACCUGGCCUCUGCAUGUGCACUCUUAAUGGGUGGGAUAUAUGCACUGAAUCUCAGUUAACCUCAAGACUGAAAGCUUUCUUUGAAGUACUUCAGAAGCUCUUCCUUCAUCUGUAUGUCAGCAUACUCUUGACCAAGGUACAGUUGCUCAA